AAAAUUUAAUAUUAUUUUUUAUUGUUUUUAUUUCUCUCUCUCUUUUUUUUUUUAUCGUGCCUCUCUCUAAAUUUCAUCAUGACUCUUAACCACUCAUCUUCUUCAUCUAAUCUUUUCUCUUCACAUCUUCUUCAUCAUCCCUCUUAACCACUCAUCUUCUUCAUAUAAUCUUUUCUCUUAAUAUGAAUUGGAAUCAAUUACCAGAGUCGACCAUCGGUGGCGCUAUCAUCCACUAUUUCACCUGCUCCAAAAGUCGUUGAUUUAAGCUGUUUUUUUCAUCUUCUUGUUCUCCCCCUUUAUUUAUUUGUUAUCUGUAAGAAAAAUGGGUAAGAAAGCUUCCCUCUCAAAAUCACAUUUUAUAGACCUAUUAUUAAAAAAUGGGUUUUAGUUUUAGUUUUUUGUUAUCUUCUGGAAAUUGAUUGAGAGUUGAAAUUGUUGGGAAAUGAAUUUUUAUUCUUUCUUGUUAUAUUCUAGAAAUUGAUAGAGAGUAGAAGAGAAUUUUACAAAUCUAUUAUUAAGAAAUGAGUUUUAGUUUUAAUUUUUUUAUCUUCUGAAAUUGAUCAAGAGUUGAAAGUGUUGAUAAAUGAAUUUUUAUUCUUUUCUUGUUAUGUUCUAGAAAUUGAUAGAGUAGAAGAGAAUGAGGAGUAAGAUUAAAGUAAAAACAAGAUGGAAACAGAAAUGGGUUCUACAAUUUAUUUUUGAAUUUUUUGAAAAUGACUUGAGAGUGGGUUUGAAAAAAAAUAUUGGAUGAAAUUAAUUAAAACAAAAAAUUUCUAUUCCGUGUUGAUGUUGAAAAGUUCUUCUUAACUUCUUCUACUGAAUGUUGAUUCAGUGAAUUUGAUGAAUAGAAAAAGAAUGGAUUCUGAUGAAUAACCCAUUCAAUGAACCAAACUAUUGAAUUACUAUUCACCACUAAAUCUGACCUGAAUGAAAUGGAAUGACUAUUCAUGCGAAUCAAACAUGCAUUUUAGUGUGAAUAUUGAAUACAGAAAGUUAGAAGAAGCAGCCAACAAAAUGGAUGCUUUCUUGAUUAAGAAGCAAAAUUAGACAAUGUCCGAAAGCGAGGUUGAUAAAAGUACAGACAACAUCAGGAAAAGCAAUCUCAAAAAUAGAGAAAACAAAGUCCACAUUCUUAACCUUAUGGUUUGACUUUCAAUUGUUGCCCGAAUUUUAGUAAUGUUUAAUUUGUAUUUUAGAGUUUAUUUGAUAAAGUUGAUAGAUUUUUCAUUGUGAUUUAAUUUUAUUAUAUGUUUCAUUUGUUCAACAUAAUCUGAUCGUUUGGG
rnacentral:lncRNA from 1 species